UACGGAGGGUGCAAGCGUUAUCCGGAUUUACUGGGUUUAAAGGGUGCGUAGGUGGGUAGAUAAGUCAGCGGUGAAAUCUCCAGGCUUAACUUGGAAACUGCCAUUGGUACUAUCUGUCUUGAAUAUCCUGGAGGUGAGCGGAAUAUGUCAUGUAGCGGUGAAAUGCUUAGAUAUGACAUAAAACACCCAUUGCGAAGGCAGCUCACUACGGGAUUAUUGACACUGAGGCACGAAAGCGUGGGGAUCAAACAGG
rnacentral:rRNA from 1 species